GUGAGGGAGUGACUGGUGACAGAGGGAGGGAGUGACUGGUGACAGAGGGAGGGAGUGACUAGUGAGGGAGGGGAUGACUCACUAGUCACCCCAUCCCUCUCUCUGUCACUAGUCACUCCCUCCCUAACUCUGUCACUGUGUCACCCGCUCCCUCACUCUGUCACUAGUCACCCCUUCCCUCCCUCACUCUGUCCCUACUCACCCCCUCCCUCUCUGUGUCACUAGUCACACCCUCCCUCAC